rnacentral:rRNA from 1 species
GUGCCAGCCGCCGCGGUAACACGUAGGUGGCAAGCGUUAUCCGGAAUUAUUGGGCGUAAAGCGCGCGUAGGCGGUUUUUUAAGUCUGAUGUGAAAGCCCACGGCUCAACCGUGGAGGGUCAUUGGAAACUGGAAAACUUGAGUGCAGAAGAGGAAAGUGGAAUUCCAUGUGUAGCGGUGAAAUGCGCAGAGAUAUGGAGGAACACCAGUGGCGAAGGCGACUUUCUGGUCUGUAACUGACGCUGAUGUGCGAAAGCGUGGGGAUCAAACAGGAUUAGAUAC